rnacentral:rRNA from 1 species
UACGUAGGGUGCGAGCGUUGUCCGGAAUUACUGGGCGUAAAGAGCUCGUAGGUGGUUUGUCGCGUCGAAUGUGAAAACCCGGGGCUCAACUCCGGGCUUGCAUUCGAUACGGGCAGACUAGAGUUCGGUAGGGGAGACUGGAAUUCCUGGUGUAGCGGUGAAAUGCGCAGAUAUCAGGAGGAACAGCCGGUGGCGAAGGCGGAUCUCUGGGCCAUUACUGACGCUGAGGAGCGAAAGCGUGGGGAGCGAACAGG